AAAUUGAAGAGUUUGAUCAUGGCUCAGAUUGAACGCUGGCGGCAGGCCUAACACAUGCAAGUCGAACGGUAACAGGAAGCAGCUUGCUGCUUCGCUGACGAGUGGCGGACGGGUGAGUAAUGUCUGGGAAACUGCCUGAUGAAGGGGAUAACUACUGGAAACGGUGGCUAAUACCGCAUAACGUCGCAAGACCAAAGAGGGGGACCUUCGGGCCUCUUGCCAUCAGAUGUGCCCAGAUGGGAUUAGCUUGUUGGUGAGGUAACGGCUCA
rnacentral:rRNA from 1 species